UUUGUGUUCAGAUCAAAUAGAUACUCGUUUUUUUCAAGUGUCAUACUGAAAAUGAAUUAAGCUUAAAUAUUAUUGAAAACCUUGAAAACUUACACAUGUCCACUAGUUAGAUCGGCUGCACUAUUGUAAGUGUGAAGACCAAUAACUGAUUCAGAAGAAAGUGAACCGUCACCAACCAUUUUGUUCGAAAUAGAUUUUUUGAAUUCUGAGGUUCUUUUUAUAGUGAUUUUUUUCUUAUUAUUUCAAUAUCACCACGUGCUUAUUUUAAAAGUGAACACUUUUAUUUA
ensembl:ncRNA T04F3.7 ncRNA